rnacentral:tRNA from 1 species
GUUUCCGUAGUGUAGUGGUUAUCACGUCCGCCUAACACGCGGAAGGUCGCCGGUUCAAACCCGGCCGGAAACA